ACGCUGGCGGCGUGCCUAACACAUGCAAGUCGAACGGAGAUAUGAUUUCGGUUAUAUCUUAGUGGCGAACGGGUGAGUAACGCGUGAGCAACCUGACCUUCAGAGGGGGAUAACACUUGGGAACAGGUGCUAAUACCGCAUAAGACCACGACCCGACAUCGGGAUGCGGUCAAAGGAGCAAUCCGCUGAGGGAGGGGCUCGCGUCCCAUUAGAUAGAUGGCGGGUAACGGCCCACCAUGUCGACGAUGGGUAGCCGAGCUGAGAGGCUGAUCGGCCACACUGGAACUGAGACACGGUCCAGACUCCUACGGGAGGCAGCAGUGGGGAAUAUUGGGCAAUGGGCGCAAGCCUGACCCAGCAACGCCGCGUGAGGGAAGAAGGCCUUCGGGUUGUAAACCUCUGUCCUUGGUGACGAAACAAAUGACGGUAGCCAAGGAGGAAGCCCCGGCUAACUACGUG
rnacentral:rRNA from 1 species